rnacentral:rRNA from 1 species
AUUGAACGCUGGCGGCAUGCCUUACACAUGCAAGUCGAACGGUAACAGGUUAAGCUGACGAGUGGCGAACGGGUGAGUAAUGUAUCGGAACGUGCCCAGUCGUGGGGGAUAACGUAGCGAAAGCUACGCUAAUACCGCAUACGAUCUACGGAUGAAAGCGGGGGAUCGCAAGACCUCGCGCGAUUGGAGCGGCCGAUAUCAGAUUAGGUUGUUGGUGAGGUAAAAGCUCACCAAGCCUGCGAUCUGUAGCUGGUCUGAGAGGACGACUAGCCAAACUGGAACUGAGAAACGGUCCAGACUCCUACGGGAGGCAGCAGUGGGGAAUUUUGGACAAUGGACGCAAGUCUGAUCCAGCAAUGCCGCGUGCAGGACGAAGGCCUUCGGGUUGUAAACUGCUUUUGUACGGAACGAAACGGUGAGCUCUAAUACAGUUUGCUAAUGACGGUACCGUAAGAAUAAGCACCGGCUAACUACGUGCCAGCCGCCGCGGUAA